UAUUCUCAUUCAUAUGUUAAUGGGGUAGGAUCCGAGACUUUCCGGGUCACACAGGCUCUCCUACCCAACUCCUAUUCCGUCACGUCCUCGUCGUACAGAGCGGUAACUUUCCCCACCACAUAUCCAAGCUUUGGUACACGGACCUGUCCCAACCCCUUUGGCGGAUGGUGGAGCAAGGCUAAACAGGAGGGG
rnacentral:ribozyme from 1 species